rnacentral:rRNA from 1 species
UACGGGGGGAGCAAGCGUUGUUCGGAUUUACUGGGCGUAAAGGGCGCGUAGGCGGUCGUGACAAGUCACUUGUGAAAUCUCCGGGCUUAACUCGGAACGGUCAAGUGAUACUGUCGGACUAGAGUACAGAAGGGGGCAACUGGAAAUUCUCGGUGUAGCGGUGAAAUGCGUAGAUAUCGAGAGGAACACCUGCGGCGAAGGCGGGUUGCUGGGCUGAUACUGACGCUGAGGCGCGAAAGCCAGGGGAGCGAACGGG